rnacentral:rRNA from 1 species
AGCUCCAAUAGCGUAUAUUAAAGUUGUUGCGGUAGGAAAGCUCGUCGUUGGAUUUCUGUUGAGGACGACCGGUCCAUACCAUGUAUGCGCAUCUGGCUCGGCCUCGGCAUCCUCUCGUUUUGGGUUCCUGUGCUUGAUUGCAUGGGGCUUAUAGCGGGACUUUUACUUUGAGGAAAUUAGAGUGUUCACGGCAGGCUAUCGCCAGAAUACAUUAGCAUGGAAUAAUAUUAUAGGAUCGAGAUUCUAUUUUGUUGGUUUCUAGAAUUUUGAUAAUGAUUAAUAGGGACAAUUGGGGGGAUUCGUAUCAACACGUCAGAGGUGGAAUGCUUGGAUUGUGUUGCGACGAACUACUGCGAAAGCAUUUGCCAAGGAUGUGU